rnacentral:rRNA from 1 species
AUUGAACGCUGGCGGCAUGCUUUACACAUGCAAGUCGAGCGGCAGCGCGGGGUUCAGGCAACUGAGCCCUGGCGGCGAGCGGCGAACGGGUGAGUAAUACAUCGGAACGUACCCAGGAGUGGGGAGUAGCCCGGCGAAAGCCGGAUUAAUACCGCAUACGAUCUGUGGAUGAAAGUGGGGGACCUAAGGGCAACUGAGGGCCUCACGCUUUUGGAGCGGCCGAUGCCGAUUAGCUAGUUGGUGGGUAAAGGCCUACCAAGGCGACGAUCGGUAGCUGGUCUGAGAGGAUGAUCAGCCACACUGGGACUGAGACACGGCCCAGACUCCUACGGGAGGCAGCAGU